ACCACCGACGGCGGGCCGGGCGCGCGUUCGGCGUCGGGAUCGUCGGGGUCGGCAGCAUCGGCGUCGGCAUAGUUCAACCCGAUGCGGUAGCAC
rnacentral:tRNA from 1 species